GAUGAAUUUAGUAAAGCAAAGCAGGUGGUUGGUCUAAGACCUCUGAAGGUUGAUCAUGGAUAGAAGAAGUUUGCUCAAUAGGACAAUCUAUAUUAGUGGUUAAUGGUUGAUCAAAAUUUUUUUCACUCAAGAUUGGUGAAGAUGGUUGAGUGGCAAUAUCUAAGGUUUUGCAAGGAAAGACGUUUUCAUGGAAAACAACAUUUCGUGAGAUAAAAACUUUGUUUGAAUCCAAAUCUAGCAAUCUGUAGCCCUUAAUCCCAAAAGGAUAACCUAAAAACACACAUCUCCUUUCUCUAGUAUCAAAUUUAUGUCGAUUGUGUGUGAGUGUAGAGGCAUAGGCUAAACAUCCAAAGAAUUUAAGGUGAGAGUAUGUAGGUUUAGCUUUGAAAAAGGAGUUCAAAAGGUGUUUUGUUUUUGAGGAGUGGAGAAGGAGUUCUAUUUAUGAGGUAGACUGCAGUAAGAACACAAUCAGACCAGUACUUCAUUGGAAUUCCACUCUGGAACAUUAAAGCCCUUGCAACGUUUAGGACAUGUUGAUGUUUUCUCUCAACUAUAGCAUUUUGUUGAGGGAUUUCUACACAAUAUUUUUGGUGGAUGAUAUCCUUUUCAGAGUAGAAAUGUUUCAUUUCGAAUUCACUUCCGUUAUCAGUCCUAAUUAUUUUAAUUUUGGAAUCGAACUGAUUUUCAAUCAUUGCAUAAAAUUUCUAUAAAACACUAGUAGCAUCUGAUUUAAACAGCAACAUUAACCAAGUACAUCUACUAAAAUAAUCUACAAUGCUAAGGAAAUAUCUCGACCCAUCAUAAGCCGUUUCAUUACAAGGUCCCCAUAAAUCACAAUGGACUAACUCAAAACAUUUCUGAGACCUAUGCUUACUAAUGGAGAAGGGCAACCUAUGCAUCUUUGCUAGAGGGCAGAUAGGACAAGGUGUUUUGGUAUUAGCUUCCUUAGGUAGAUGAUUAAAAUUUAAAAGAUCUAAUCUGGAAUCUGAAGGGUGUCUUAAUAUGUAGUGCCACAUAUUGGUGACUUCCUGGCUGUAGAUGACAGAAGCUGAUUUGGUGGAUUUCUUGGCUAGAAAAGGUAGAAAAUCAUCCAAGGCUGUAGAGGAGACUUUAUUCCGCAUUAGGUGGUAUAGGCCAUUUCUCACUUCACCCAUUCCAGUCGUCUUCCAAGUGGAAAGGUCCUGCACAAAACAAGUUUCAGGAAGAAAAAUGAGACAACAAUGUGAGGUUUGUGACAAUUUUCUAGUAGAUAUCAGAUUGAAAUAGAAGGAAGGUACACAUAGAACAUCAUAUGAGAUUAGCCUUUCACUUAAUUUAACUGUUCCAAUAUGAGUGACUCUAACAAAGUCCCCAUUUGGGAGAGCAACUGAGUGAUCGAUUUUUGCCUAGAUAGUGGUGAAGAAGGUUGGGGAACAGAUCAUAUGAUUAGUUGUCCCAGUGUCCACAAUCCAAGCAGUGUCAGAAACAUUUCUUGGUUUUGUGUUGCACACAGAAAAACAAAGAGAAAUACCAGAGAUCUAUAGAAUGUCAACAUCAUUUGUAGAGGAAGGUAUGCAAGUUUUCACUUGGUUGGCUGAGGAUGUGAAAAGCUGGUUGUUCUGUGGUUUGAGCAAAGCCAUCAGCUGAGCAUAUUGCUCUUGAGUUAAAGACAUUUGGGUGUUGCUAAUGAGCUACUCUUGGCUGGGUUGCCUAAGAGUGACUGCUUGAUUGGCAGAGGAUGAAAUGACUUUAGUUUUUCCAUAUAACAUGUGCCCUGGUGGAUAGCCAUGUAACUUGUAACAUUUAUCAGUUGUGUGACCAGGCACAUUACAGUAAUUACAUGUUGGUUUGUCUGAGUUGGCUUUGAAACAUCUCUCAAGGGAAUGCCCAAGCAUUUUGCAAAAAAGAAUAGUAGUACUUUUUCCGAUGCAUCAAAUUCUAUUUUCCUGCAUCUCUAGUAGUAGCCUUUGCCAUGAGGGCCAUAGUAUCAUUGACAGGAAUAUCCACAGAGAUUUCUCCUCUUUUCUUCUUGUUGAACAAUUGAAUAUACUUCAUUGAGGCUGGGAAAGGGCUUGAUCAGAAGGACUUGG
rnacentral:lncRNA from 1 species